rnacentral:misc_RNA from 1 species
GAUGAAGAACGCAGCGAAAUGCGAUAAGUAAUGUGAAUUGCAGAAUUCAGUGAAUCAUCGAAUCUUUGAACGCAUCUUGCGCUCCUUGGUAUUCUGAGGAGCAUGCCUGUUUGAGUGUCAUUAAAUUCUCAACUACACUGACUUUGAAUUGGUGUGGCUUGGAUUUGGGGGGAAAAUUGUUGUGGGCUUUUUGUAUAGUCUGCUCCCCUGAAAUUGAUUAGCGGUACCUUUGUGGAACUGUCUACAGGUGUGAUAAUUAUCUACAUCUUAGACAUCUGCUGGAAUGCUGCUUUCUAACCCCUACUUGUAUUGACAAUCUUGACCUCAAAUCAGGUAGGACUACACGCUGAACUUAAGCAUAUCAAUAAGCGGAGGA